rnacentral:tRNA from 1 species
GCCUCCCUGAGCUGCGCGCGGCCACGGUGGAUCCGGCUGCGGACCGUGCCCAGCUUGACACCGAGCGUGGCCGCGAUCUCCUCGUAGGAGAGGCCC